GAUGAACGCUGGCGGCGUGCCUAAUACAUGCAAGUCGAGCGAACGGACGAGAAGCUUGCUUCUCUGAUGUUAGCGGCGGACGGGUGAGUAACACGUGGAUAACCUACCUAUAAGACUGGGAUAACUUCGGGAAACCGGAGCUAAUACCGGAUAAUACUUUGAACCGCAUGGUUCAAAAGUGAAAGACGGUCUUGCUGUCACUUAUAGAUGGAUCCGCGCUGCAUUAGCUAGUUGGUAAGGUAACGGCUUACCAAGGCAACGAUGCAUAGCCGACCUGAGAGGGUGAUCGGCCACACUGGAACUGAGACACGGUCCAGACUCCUACGGGAGGCAGCAGUAGGGAAUCUUCCGCAAUGGGCGAAAGCCUGACGGAGCAACGCCGCGUGAGUGAUGAAGGUCUUCGGAUCGUAAAACUCUGUUAUUAGGGAAGAACAUAUGUGUAAGUAACUGUGCACAUCUUGACGGUACCUAAUCAGAAAGCCACGGCUAACUACGUGCCAGCAGCCGCGGUAAUACGUAGGUGGCAAGCGUUAUCCGGAAUUAUUGGGCGUAAAGCGCGCGUAGGCGGUUUUUUAAGUCUGAUGUGAAAGCCCACGGCUCAACCGUGGAGGGUCAUUGGAAACUGGAAAACUUGAGUGCAGAAGAGGAAAGUGGAAUUCCAUGUGUAGCGGUGAAAUGCGCAGAGAUAUGGAGGAACACCAGUGGCGAAGGCGACUUUCUGGUCUGUAACUGACGCUGAUGUGCGAAAGCGUGGGGAUCAAACAGGAUUAGAUACCCUGGUAGUCCACGCCGUAAACGAUGAGUGCUAAGUGUUAGGGGGUUUCCGCCCCUUAGUGCUGCAGCUAACGCAUUAAGCACUCCGCCUGGGGAGUACGACCGCAAGGUUGAAACUCAAAGGAAUUGACGGGGACCCGCACAAGCGGUGGAGCAUGUGGUUUAAUUCGAAGCAACGCGAAGAACCUUACCAAAUCUUGACAUCCUUUGACAACUCUAGAGAUAGAGCCUUCCCCUUCGGGGGACAAAGUGACAGGUGGUGCAUGGUUGUCGUCAGCUCGUGUCGUGAGAUGUUGGGUUAAGUCCCGCAACGAGCGCAACCCUUAAGCUUAGUUGCCAUCAUUAAGUUGGGCACUCUAAGUUGACUGCCGGUGACAAACCGGAGGAAGGUGGGGAUGACGUCAAAUCAUCAUGCCCCUUAUGAUUUGGGCUACACACGUGCUACAAUGGACAAUACAAAGGGCAGCGAAACCGCGAGGUCAAGCAAAUCCCAUAAAGUUGUUCUCAGUUCGGAUUGUAGUCUGCAACUCGACUACAUGAAGCUGGAAUCGCUAGUAAUCGUAGAUCAGCAUGCUACGGUGAGUACGUUCCCGGGUCU
rnacentral:rRNA from 1 species